rnacentral:rRNA from 1 species
UACGUAGGUGGCAAGCGUUAUCCGGAAUUAUUGGGCGUAAAGAGCGCGCAGGUGGUUAAUUAAGUCUGAUGUGAAAGCCCACGGCUUAACCGUGGAGGGUCAUUGGAAACUGGUUGACUUGAGUGCAGAAGAGGGAGGUGGAAUUCCAUGUGUAGCGGUGAAAUGCGUAGAGAUAUGGAGGAACACCAGUGGCGAAGGCGGCUUUCUGGUCUGCAACUGACACUGAGGCGCGAAAGCGUGGGGAGCAAACAGG